GAUGAAGAACGUAGCGAAAUGCGAUAAGUAAUGUGAAUUGCAGAAUUCAGUGAAUCAUCGAGUCUUUGAACGCACAUUGCGCCCCCUGGUAUUCCGGGGGGCAUGCCUGUCCGAGCGUCAUUGCUGCCCUCAAGCACGGCUUGUGUGUUGGGCUCCGCCCCCCUCCCGGGGGGCGGGCCCGAAAGGCAGCGGCGGCACCGCGUCCGGUCCUCGAGCGUAUGGGGCUUUGUCACCCGCUCUGUAGGCCCGGCCGGCGCCCGCCGGCGACCCCAAUCAAUCCUUCCAGGUUGACCUCGGAUCAGGUAGGGAUACCCGCUGAACUUAAGCAUAUCAAUAAGCGGAGGA
rnacentral:misc_RNA from 1 species